GCUCUGAUGGCCUAGUGGUUUAUAGCGUCCGCCUCGGAUGCGGGGAGUCGUGGGUUCGAUCAUGCAUGAUUCCCAAGUGUUAGAAUC